CUACGUGCCAGCAGCCGCGGUAAUACGUAGGGCGCGAGCGUUGUCCGGAAUUAUUGGGCGUAAAGAGCUUGUAGGCGGUUUGUCGCGUCUGCUGUGAAAGGCCGGAGCUUAACUCCGUGUAUUGCAGUGGGUACGGGCAGACUAGAGUGCAGUAGGGGAGACUGGAAUUCCUGGUGUAGCAGUGAAAUGCGUAGAUAUGCGGAGGAACACCGAUGGCGAAGGCAGCCUCCUGGGAUAACACUGACGCUCAUGCACGAAAGCGUGGGGAGCAAACAGGAUUAGAUACCCUGGUAGUCCACGCCCUAAACGAUGUCUACUAGUUGUCGGGGAUUAAUUUCCUUGGUAACGCAGCUAACGCGUGAAGUAGACCGCCUGGGGAGUACGGUCGCAAGAUUAAAACUCAAAGGAAUUGACGGGGACCCGCACAAGCGGUGGAUGAUGUGGAUUAAUUCGAUGCAACGCGAAGAACCUUACCAAGGCUUGACAUGC
rnacentral:rRNA from 1 species